GGUUGGAUACUGUUAAUUAACAUGAGAACAGAGAAUUAUUUCUUUUUACCCAGAGAGUGCAGAUCCGCUUUGCUUUGUUGCUUGUUAUGUUUUUAAGAAAAUGAGGGGUAGAGCUACACUGCCCAUCUGUAUUGAGCAUGUGUAAGCAGAUGUAAGCAUGGUAUCCCAUCUGGCACUCUGGAGCAAAGUUAGACAUUUCUUGGGAGAAAAAUGGCAACCUAAUGGGAUCCUAUCACUGCAAUAUCUGCUAUUUCUUUCUAACACUGCAGGCUUACAACAAUGCAUAUUGCUCAUCUAGGAUGGUUGUUGGUUUUUUUUGCUGUGGAAAAACUGCAGUCAUAGAACUACAGAACAUCAGGAUAAACCAGCAGGCUUGCAUGAACAUGGCAGCAUCUGCUCUAUCUUGGCUGGCACAGAGGCACCUGGAGGAGCAGCAUCACCCCAGCCAACCCCUCACACCUCAUCACUUCAGAAACAGAGUGAGAAUGGAAGAGAAAGGGACAACAUGGUGGCACUGCAGAGCCAGGGCAAAGGCUCGUGCCCCAUAAGGAAGGAAUGUUCCUGGUGGUUCGAUGGGCACAGUCGUACCGUCUGCCAGUGGCAUUCUGCAGGCUGCGCAG